AUGCGAUGCAUCCUGCUGUGGCCUCUUGUUAAUCAUCCAUCCAUCCAUCCUUUGGGGUGCUUGUUUGCCAUGGCUCCUCAUCUGGAGAAGAACAAGGACGACGCCGCGACCACGCCGACCAUGGAGGAGGAAGAGGGGGAGCAUCAUUGUCAUGGCGACCGGCCGCUGCUCUCGGCGUGUGAGCAGGAGCAGCAGCAGGAACAGGAUGCCGACAAGCCAUUGCCAUUGCCGGCGAAGAGGAGGAGCAGCAGCCUGAGCAGAUCGUCAAGAUCAGGCGAGCAGGGGCGGGAUGAGGAGGCGGUUGGGCCCGGCGGCGCCGCACGGUCGCUGUCCUUCUCCAGGCUCUUCAACAGCUUCAGGAUGAUGGCCACCUCCACCACCUCCACCACCUUGGACAUUGACGAGCUAGCAGCCGCUGAAGACGGCUGCGCAGCUCUCAACCCUCAGCAGCAGCAGCAGUGGAAGCCGGUGUGCCGGACGCAGUCGAUGCCGAUGACGAGCAUUUCCAGGAGGCUCCCCGCUCAUGGCAGCAGGAAGCGGGUGGCGGACUCGAGCUCCCUGCGCCGGUUCCGGGUGUCGUCGCUGUCGUCGGCGGCGCCCGCGCCAUUGCCGGAAUCGUCGUCGCCGCCCUCUUCGCCAUCACCGUCGGAAGAAGAGGAGGUGGGGGAGGAGGAGGCGGUGUGCCGGAUCUGCAUGGUGGCGCUGCUGGAGGAGGAGGAGGAGGAAGGAGGGGCAGCAGGGGCCGGCGACGGCGUGCUGAAGCUGGAGUGCCGGUGCAAGGGCGAGCUGGCGCUGGCGCACCGCCGCUGCGCGCUCAAGUGGUUCGGCAUCAAGGGCAACCCCAACUGCGACGUCUGCGGCCACGACGUCCUCAACCUCCCCGUCACCCUCCGCCGCGUCGCCGCCCCUCCCCCUCCUCCUCCCGUCGCCGCCGGCGACAAUGGCACCGGCAGCCAAGAAGAAGGAGGAACAGCACGGCGAGGAUUCAACAGAGGGGUGUGGCGGCACGGCACGGUGAUCCUGGUGACGGUCAGCAUGCUGGCAUACUUCUGCUUCCUGGAGCAGCUGCUGGUGGGCGACCACGGCAACGCGGCGGCGGCGCUGGCCGUCUCCGUGCCCUUCGCCGUCGUGCUCGGCACCUUCUCCGCGCUCACCACCGCCGGGAUGGCCUCCUCCCGGUGCUACGUGUGGGCCUACUCGGCGCUGCAGUUCCUGCUCGUCGUCCUCUUCACCCACCUCUUCUACCGCUACGUCAACCUCCAGGCCGUCAUCGCCAUCAUCCUCUCCGCCUUCGCCGGCUUCGGCGUCGCCAUCUGCGCCAACGCCGUGCUGCUCCAGGCCGCCCGCUGGAGGGCCGCCCGCCGCCCCCCGUCGCCGUCGGACCUCGAUAUCCCUCAGCCAUAG
rnacentral:rRNA from 1 species